rnacentral:lncRNA from 1 species
AAAAAAAAAAAAAAAAAAAUGAUAUUAAAAAUCGUGCCAUUAUAUAGCUAUAAUUUUUACUGUACUUUGUUAAUUAUUAAAGAAUUAAAUUAUACAAACAAAGAACAUGAACUAAAAAAUAUUUUACCACAUAUAAAUAACAACAUAGAGACAGAAAAUAAUGUUAUGACACAUUGUGAAAAGGAUUAUAAUAACGAUGUUGUUAAUCAUAUAAAAUCAUAUAACUAUGAUUACUUAAAUAAUAAAAAAGAUUUUUAUCCAGAUAAAAGUAAUGAAAAUAUUUAUAUUCUUAUAAACUGCGGAUGGGAUGAAAAUUUUUGUCAAGAGGAUAUCCAAAACGUGUUAAGGGUAUGCGAAUAUAUAGACAUUUUAAUAAUCACAAAUUAUAAUUUAAAGUACGUUGGUGCUUUGCCUUUAGUUUAUACAAAUUUGCAAAAAGCGAAUAAAAAAGUAACAAUAAUAUGUCAUGAAUAUGUAAAAUAUUAUAGUAAAUAUAUUUUAUUAAGUUAUUAUAAAUGUUUAAAUAAUUGUGAAUUUUUUAAAAACUUUGUUGCAAAUGAAUAUAAUAAAUUAAUAAAAGAUUUAUAUAACGACAUAACAAUAUUAGAAUAUAGAGAGCAUUAUAUAUUCAAAAAAAUAAUUAAUAAAAAAAAUGAUAUUACAUGUAUACUUCCAUUAUAUUUAAUAAACAACGGAGAUGAUAUAGGUUCCUCAGGGAUUAUAUUCAAAUUGUUCAAUCACAAAAUUCUUUAUUCAAUUAAUUUUAAUGUUUCUGAUUAUUCAUUUAUUGAAAAAUCACAUGUAUUUAAACAAACAGAUAUUUUUACUUUUAUUAGUAACUUUUAUUAUACAAAUAAAAAUUACACAAAAUUUGCUGAUUUAAAAGAAAUUUUAAAAAUUAUUAAUAAAACUAUUAAUAAAAUGGGUUCCGUCAUUUUGCCUGUAGACAUUGACAACACAUUCCUGGACCUAUUGUUUCAUGUCAAUGCAUUAUUGGAAGUAUGCGCACAAAGAUACUCACUUUUGUUUUUAUGUGAUUAUUCGAUAAACUUCAUAAGGUUGUUAUGCACUUCUCUAAGUUACAUGAACGUUAAUAUAAGGAACAAUUUCCACAGAAACAGAAUAAAUUUAUUUAAAAUUAAGAAUUUGAUUUGUUUAAAAAAUUAUAAUGAUUUUAAAAAAUAUGAAGAGGGAUAUUACAUUUUAUUUUCUUUUCCUUCUUCAUUAAACAAUGAAUCAAUUAAAAAAAUUUUAUCAAAAUUUUUAACAAAAAAAAUAAUGUUGUUAUAUUUACCAAAAAAAUUAAUGAAAAAUCAACAAGUUUUGCUAGCCAAGUUUAUAAUAAUUUUUAUACAAAUAAGGAAAAACAGAAGAGUGAAAAUUUUAAUUUUUCUUAUAUACAAAAUGUAAAACUAAAUAAAAAGAAGUUAUAUGAAAUUUAUUUAAAAAAU